ensembl:lncRNA
AAGUCCUGCAUCUCUAUGGAAACAGCACAACUAUGACUAGAAGCAGAGAGACCUUAGAAAAUUCUUCUAUGCAAUCUGAAACAGUCAUACCAACACGGACUGGAAUCCUCUGGAAGCUUCACGUCUCAGACCUGAACUCACCGGCAGAUAGAACAAGCUGCUCUCUGGGAGGACAGACAAACAUUCCAAGUCCAAGCCAACAUCCAUCUUCAGAAGGACUCUCCUCUGUCAUCCCCCAGCCCCAGAAUCACAAUCAACCAAAAUAUUGCGCAGCUGAAAGAAGCAGUCUGCAGCAGUUUGAUGCAUCUCUUCUUUACAAAAGAGCAUUUGGGGGAUCAAAAUGGCUGCAGAAGAAACAGUUUUGUUUUUGCUGCUGUAUUUCCAGGCCAGUAGGGGGAGCGCUACUCAUACCAGAGAUCUACGCAGCUGGUGAAGACGAGUAGAAACCCCAGAGGCCAAAUUUGCCAUUGCUGUGGAUUAAACACUUCAAUUUCAAUGGAAGGAAAUAAAGGGGAGAUGCAGUUCUACUCCCAUACAUCGACGACUCCACCCUUUAUAUGAAAGCUGCUAUUUCCUGCUAACAGGGAAUGGUAGCUCUAUUACAGGUGGUGGCAUGAAGGAAUCCUUGGUUCCACAGUCCUGUGCUCAAACUGAGAAUAACAGCAACAAAACAAGCCUCUCUCAUCUUUUCUAUCUCUUCUCGAAGUAAAGACAAAGUGGGGAAAAUGUUAUAAAACUUGCUACAGCAGGUUUUUCUGGUACUACAGACCUCUUGUUACCAUGCGCUGAAGAGGAAAUAAUGGAAACGUCCUACUGAAUGAAUAAAACAACGAUGUAGCCGACACAGAACGUCGGUUUCUUUCCACGGUUUGUUUCUAUCUACAUUCCAGAUCGGAACUGUUCCCUUCUUCCUCACCUCUGCAUUUUUCUUGAAUGCUGAUACUUCCGUCUUUCUAAUCCCUCGCCCAACAAUCCACAACUUGCCAUGUCUUUAAAGAAGUGUAUAGUGGAUUAAAAAAAAAAAAAAAAAAAAGAAAUGUAGGAAUUUGGAAUGCAUGGAACUUUAUAUCCAAGACCUUACACUGUUCAUUAUUGCUAUACAGAGGCCAUAAAGACACUGGGAAACACAUCUUAGCUAGACGACGUCAAUAAUAACAAAGAAGAGAGAUUACUGAAGCAACACACAGGGAUCUGGGAAUAAGGAGCCUUUUGUUUUUUCUUUGUUUUUCAGUUUUUUUGAGAAAAUCUUUGAAUGGUAUGCAGAAUGAAUAUGGUUGGGAUGUUUUUCAGCCAUUACCAAGCCAUUAAGACAACAUUUACCUGCAGUGCUUGUGGCAAUGGGGUAUCUCCAACUGCUCCACAAAAUUUGGCUCUCAGAUAUUUCUCAUGUUGUCGCAGGUGGGUGUCAUUAUUUUUUUGUGUUCUCUUUGUUUACUUUCUAAUUUACUUUUGUUAUUUGCCUGGUUUUUAUGUUGCAGGUUGCCUUAAUCAUUUUUAAAUGUUUUAUUUUCAAGGUGAAAGCGGGAUAUUUUUUCCAUCACAUCCUUUUUUAUGUGUCAGCUGGAACACUGGCCACAGAGAGAUUAAUUUAUAUUUUUUAUGUUUUUUUAAAUAAUUGUGAUAUUAUUUUUCAUUUAUUUAUUUUGUAAUGUUUUGUUAUCUCCAUCAAAGCCUCCCCUGUCGAGUUUCUGACAUUUUAUUUAUUAUCAAUAAUUAUAAAAGCAAUAGCGGUAAGAAAGUAAAGAGCACAAUCUUGUGUCAUUUUCAAAGUUGGUGGAACAGAAAUGUGUUGCCUCCGUCUGUCUAACUGACUACCGCUCAAGUCUGACCUAAAUGUUCUACAAAAAUGAGCUCCAAUGUUGUGCUGCUGCUGCUGCGCUAAUACACCGGACAGCAGGAGUUCACCUACAAAACCACAAGGUACCGCCCAGAUCUCUUCCUCCAACCAAUCGUGAGACAUUUGUGUCGUCAAUCAGCCAAUAAGUGGAUGGGAGUGAUGCACUGCUUUACAUUAGCCAGUUGGAGUCUGAUCUGAAAGCACUGCAGGGCAGCAGAGAGGCACUGAAAACGCAGACCAGUCUCACUUUACAGCAGAACUGGACUCAUCACCUGCGAGGGGUUUGGGUUUCAACGUGAUUCUUCUGACCCUCCAAGAUGGACGUUUAUGGGGGGGGUACUGCAAAAAAAUAAAUAGAUAAAAAAAGCUGUGCCGAGCUCCUUACACGAGUGUGUCAGCAUGUGUCUUCACUCAAAUGUCAAAUGUGCACGGCGCGUAUGAAAGCACACUCGAAAUGGUGUCAAAAAGAGAAAAAAAACAACAUGUGACUGAGGAACCAAAAAUAACACACUUGGUUGUGUCACAAAGUCACUCGCCUUUUUUUUUUUACUUUGAGUUUUCUAUCAUGGUGGCGUCCAGACCUGCAACCCAACCCCCCCAUGAAGAAACCUCUCUCUCUCUCUCUCAGACUGUCAGUUGUCAUGGAAACUUCUCAGGUCAGUUUUCUCCCUGCUGUUGCUCCUGCAGUGCAUUGUGGGAUCUGCGGUUCGGUACUCAAAAAUGUACUCUGUCAGGCCGAGCGUUGCAAGGCCUUCAGUGAAAAUGAACCAACCAACCAACUUCUGCUGUAUAUUGUCUGUGUGAACGCUCGCUGGGAACCUUCGCAUGCCGCCCGGCGCAGAAAAACCUCAAAGUCACCUCUAUAUUGUUCUGUUCCUAAUGUUUGUAUGUGUGUGGGGGUUCUGUAUGCGUGUAUUUAAAACAACCAUCAUCCAAUGUGGAAAAAGAAAAACACGACAAAGACGAGUUCAACCAUGAACAAAUAUGGUGGGCAGAAGAGGCGACCUCUCAUCUCCAGUCGUUCUAUGCAAUGAAUCAUAUUUGGGAAAACCAGAAACAUAUGGAGGAAAUAAGGAAAAAGUGAAACACACAAAUGGGAAAAAGUCACACAGUCAUUGUUUCUCACACCUGAGUUACUCCAGUACCAUGUUUGCUUUGUUUCGGCAUUUGUCGUAAAUGAUAAUAAGGAGAUUCUGUGAAUUUGUUUGUGCAUAAAAUAGCUUAAAUCUAAGUGAGGAAGCACUAAGGAGGAUUCACUUGUGUUAACCUUGUAUGUUCGGGGUCCCUUCUCCACUGAAACGGGGAGUUUCUGCAACCAAACAUGCGUCAUGACAGCUGGGAAACUGCACUUGCAUUUCUGUUCUCAGAUGUUUCAUGUAGCAGAAAAGAUUUAAAACACAAAAAAAGCCGGAAAAAUCAUCUAUAGUUCCAGAGCAGGAGAAAACCAGCUGGAAUUCCUUGGUUCUAAAAACACUCUGAGAAAGUUCUGAAAAGUUCCAGUAAUGUUUUCAGCAAGAAGUUUUUUUUAGGUUGCCAGAAUGUUCUUCCGAAAAGCAUCAUGAAGUCUGAAGACGUUCUAAAAAUGUUCUUCAUAAAACGUGCACCGAGAACGAGCCUCCCGUUUUUAUGGAAGAACAGUCUGUGACAUGCUACCUCAAUCCCAAAACAUCGUUAGAAUAUCGCAGGAAAAAUGUUCCAGCUUUGUGAAUUUGUGACAUUACAGGAACGUUUUAUAUAAAAUAACAUUUGGAAAACACUUUUUGUAUCUUAGUUGUCAUGGAACAUAAUCUGACAACAUCCUCCAAACAGUAGUUCACAUUUAACAUUCUAGGAACAUUCUUUGAAUAGGUAAGUAGCCUCCUGUUUUCUGUAAAACAUCAUUAGAACUUAAAGAUAAUGUUAGCAAAUGUUGGGGGAACAUUCCCUGCUUGCUGGGCAGUAAUUCCCAUUGAGAAUAAUUGGCAUUGCUGCUGUUAAUAUAUGGGAGAUAUUUUGUAGAAAAAACUAUUUUCAGCGAUGGCAAACAAUCCCAGUUGUCAUGAAUGCAUCCAAGCAGCUACAUCUUGGUUUCUUUUGUUUGAAGCAGGGAUUAAGUGCAGACACAGUUGUCCAGAGAUUUAUGUAUAGAAAAAUAUUGAAAUAUAAUAAAUUUAUAUAUAUAUGUAUAUAUAUAUGUGUGUGUGUGUAUAUAUAUAUAUAUAUAUAUAUAUAUAUAUAUAUAUAUAUAUAUAUAUAUAUAUAUAUAUAUAUAUAUAUAUAUAUAUAUAUAUAUAUAUAUAUAUAUAUAUAUAUAUAUAUAUAUGAAAGAGACAGAUUUCAAUACUAAUAGAGAAACUUGUUUGUGCAGUUGUUGUUUCUGCACUGAUCGAAGCUCCAAGAAUGUUGAAAGUGGUUAAAAUACAAAUGCAUACUUAUUAUAUACUUAAUAAAAUUACAGAUUAUAUACGACGAAGGAAACUGCUACUAGUGAAGCACUAUUCAGGCAUUCCUAAACUGAAUUUGUGGCAUAAGAGAGAGUUUGAAUGGUUGUGUGUGUGAAUGUGUGUGAGAGCGUUUAAAGGUGCACUGCCAUGGCACGCUAAACAACAAGAUUUAUAAGCUAAAUACACUGUGUAACGUCAAAUUUCUGUACCUCAGAAGCAAAUCAUCUGCAAAUUUACCAUCAGUCUUUUUUGUGUUUGCAGUUUGGUAGCAGCACACUAUAUAGCUAAGCAAUUAAAAAGAUGCUAUUUAUGGAAAUUCAGAUUUUAAAUGGUGGUUUAUAAAGUAUGAAAAUAUCCCUUAACCUAUAAGUCCUUUUUUCAUGUGCAGGGUCUCCCAAGUCACUAAAUCUGUGUAAAAGAAAUUAGUAUAUAUAUAUUUUUUGUGAAAUGUUUAUCAGAUCAUCUAUGUAAUAAUUUAUUUUUAUCAUACUGAGAAAGGAUAGAAAGUUAGCUGGCAUUUAGAAAGAGAUUUACAUUUUAAAUUUCUAUAGACAGAGAAUAAGAAAUUAUACAGAAGUUAUCUUUUGCUGGAUUUAUGCACAACUAUAAUAAUCAGAUUGUUAAACUGAAUAAAAGUAAACAGAAAAACAUUUUUGAAUAGUAUAGUUAAAUAAGAAAUGUACGUUGAAUUGAUUGGCAGUUUUAAAACGGUUUCACCUGGGCCUAUUUUAAACUCGAAGUCAUAGUGAUUGUUCAAUUUUUUCUCCUUUUUUGGCCUCUUCACAGGUAAAUCUAGCUGCAGGAUUAAGGAUCUGAUUAUUCUGGUUCUGUGUGGAUCCGAGUUCAGUCUGUUAAUUCCUCCGUGGCCCAAACAGACAUCACUUCACUUCCACCAGAGUGUCGACUUUUAAGACGAAAAGCUUAAAAAAUGAGGCGUCAAACCAGAACAAACAACACGGGAGAGAGAUUAAAGUCACCCAAAAUGAAUGCCGACGUUCUCUGUUGUGUGUCGUAUGUUUAUGGGAGUUUGUAAAAAACAUAAAAUGUUCAAUAAAAUAAUCCUCAAUCACUUUUUGCCUCAGGAAAGCACACACUAAAUGCAGCAUCGCGGCGGAGGUGUUCAAAAGACAACGGAGAAUAGUGAUGGAUGUGUUUAUGCAGGUGCAAGAAAUCAGAUUGCAAAGGAAGGGAGUCAGAAAUAUUUAAAAUAUUCUAAAGAUGAAGAACAAGAACUGUAUCAAAACUUCUUUUUUGUUUUGUUUUGGUUUUUUUUGCUCCUGCGUGAAUACAGCCACUGAAGGUGACUAAAAUAUGCAUAGCAGCAAGGGCUUUAAUACCACAAUACUGGUCAGUGAAGAAAGCCAUCCUGUUACUGCCCUCCAGCCAGUCGUGGUCUCUGUCUAUACUCUGCAUGGUGUCUGUCUAUUUCCAGGAAAUGUAACGGGCGACUUCUGUUCAGACCACAGCAAUCACCAGUGGGGCAAAAUCUCCGGAAUCAGCUCACAGCCUGCGUUUUUCAGAGGUGUUUGAAGCACAAAAGGUAGACAAAUAAAUAAAAUGGACAAAAGUUGUGUUCCAAAUUGAGAUUAAUAUCAGAAAAAUCAACAUUUUUCUCAACAUUUGGACGCUUUGGUACAAAACUCUUGCAAUAGAAGAUUGACAGAUUCAAAGACGAGAACCGUAAGAGGUUGCUUCCAAGAGAUCUUUAAAAGAAGCAAAUUUUAAGACGGUUUGACUCGUCUGUGAAUCUGACAUCAGCAAUAAGGCUGCAUUUAUGCACAGUCACACGAACUGGCUCUUUUCGUGGAUCAGAUUUAGCCAUGACAUUAAGAAGUAGAGCGCGCCAUAAAGAGUAAAGACAAACAGCUCCUCCUGUAUUUAAAUGCAGCUUAAAAAUACUUUGGGAAAUCCAGACUGUGUGUGUGUGUGUGUGUGUGUGUGUGUGUGUGUGUGUGUGUGUGUGUGUGUGUGUGUGUGUGUGUGUGUGUGUGUGUGUGUUUGUAUGUGUGUGUUCUAAACCAAAAAGGUAGCAUGCAGUGCUUGUACAGAGCGUAGUGUAGUAAAAGUGUCACCACUGCUCUUGCUGUUGGUCAUAAAUAAAGACAGUCGAUGUAUAGCAGGACCCGAGAGAAAAAAACGGUUUUCAAACACUAAAGUAUAUAAAUAUAUAAAUAUAAAUAUAUAGGAAGUCAAUGUUUCAUGGGUGAGAGGUUGUAAAAGAAGAAAACCACAAGAGAAAAGUUACCGAGUCCAUAUUUCACCAUCAGGGAGCGUUUAAUCAUCCUUCACCUGUAAUGAAUCAUCAAAAAGUAAAAUUGCAUGAGCUGGACCCCGACCCGACCCGACCCAACUCCCCCAAACCCUCCUCGACCUCCCACCUCACGGGCUGCCAUAUUUUUUCCAGUGUAAAUACCAGACCGACCAGAGUCGACCAAACAAAUAUGUAAAUGCCAUGAAGGUCCUGUACAACAUGUAAAUCUCAAACAUGCUAACACAAACACAACACACAUGCACAAGAGGCACGCGAAAAAGCCUUUGCACACCAGACGGCGACACGAACUGGAGUGUAUGCAAGCCCACAACUCCCUGCCCCCGGAAACUUGUGCUUUUUGUGUAUAAUAAUUAAAAAAAACAACACAUAAACAAACAAGAGCAGUUGUUAAUUUGAAUAAUAAAUGCCAUUGUGUACGUAUGUGGCUGGCUCGUGCGGACUGUUCAUUUAAAACAUUUUUAAAAAGUUGUAUUCGGAUAUGGAAAAAAAUCAUAAAAACAUAUUGGUCUGUGUAGAGUUUCUAUACAUGUUGUGUUUGUAAAACGAGAUGACAUCAAAAACUACAAAAAAAAAAGGGAAAAAUAUUCUGGCUUCCAUGUAAUUUUUCGGGGGGUGAUUUACUUUUAUUUUUGUGGGAGAUGGAGAUGGAGAGAGAGAGAAGGUGAACUGGACAAUGGAGAUGUGUUUUUAAGAAAAAACAAUUAUAACCCAAAUUGAAUGAAGUAAAAGGGUGAAAAUAAAAUACAGAGAAAGGUUGAGAGCCUAAAAAUGACUACAAAGUGUUCCAUUCACUGUUGUAAGUGCAAUGAGCUAAACUUCCUGUUUCCCCAUUGUAAAACCUUGUGUAUGUUUCCGUGUAUUCCUCCUGUAAGUGGGUGUAGUAGACUUGGUGCAUCAUGCCAUGUAAUGUGAUGAAUGACAAAUUAUGACCUUACAAUACAUUUCAAUCAGGAAAAAUAAAUAAAAGACAAAUAAAUAAAAG